UAAAGGUGCAUGAGUGGUGUUUGGUUUGUUACGUGUGGUUGGCUGCGGCGCUUGCAACAACUUCCAUGCUUUCAUACCUCUUCAGUAUUGCGGCAAGGCUUGUAAUGCCUUGAUCGUGUUGUGGGUUUACUGUGUUGAAUACCUAACCAAUGGUAUCGGAUGGAUUGAUCAAAUUUUCAUUUCGUCUUGCGUUGCUCUUGCGAUGUGAGGUGAACCAUGAUGCGGUCUCUUUGAUCCACCUUGUUGAGGCACAUGCUUUGACAUUGUGGCACAUUGAGCAUUGCUUGGUCUCUUGUAUACGGAACAUAUAGUGGGCAUGGAUCUAAUGAUUCCUGUUUGCCCUCAUAUUCUCGCUUCUUUAAAACGACCUGCACAACGUGUUGGCUUGUCCAACCGUGGUGCUACGUCGAAGAGGAAUGCUACCUGGUUGAUCCUG
rnacentral:misc_RNA from 1 species